rnacentral:rRNA from 1 species
AACGCGAAGAACCUUACCCAGGCUUGACAUCCUUGGAAGCUCUACGAAAGUAGAGUGUGCUUUUAGAACCAAGUGACAGGUGAUGCAUGGCCGUCGUCAGCUCGUGUCGUGAGAUGUUUGGUUAAGUCCAUCAACGAGCGCAACCCUUGUGAUUAGUUGAAUUUUUCUAAUCAGACUGCCCUGGCAACAGGGAGGAAGGAGGGGAUGAUGUCAGGUCAGUAUUUCCCUUACGUCUGGGGCUACAAACACGCUACAAUGGCCGGUACAAAGGGCAGCCAAGUCGCAAGACGGAGCAAAUCCCAUCAAAGCCGGUCCCAGUUCGGAUAGCAGGCUGAAACUCGCCUGCUUGAAGUCGGAAUCGCUAGUAACGGCAGGUCAGCUAUACUGCCGUGAAUACGUUCCCGGG